UAAAAGGUGGCUGAGGUUAGGCGUUAGAUUGUAAAUCUAGAAACGAGUGAUACUCCCUUUUAA
rnacentral:tRNA from 1 species